rnacentral:rRNA from 1 species
AUUGAACGCUGGCGGCAGGCCUAACACAUGCAAAUAGAACGAGUGGCGGACGGGUGAGUAAUAUCUGGGAAACUGCCCGAUGGAGGGGGAUAACUACUGGAAACGGUAGCUAAUACCGCAUACCAUCGGAUGUGCCCAGAUGGGAUUAGCUUGUAGGUGAGGAAACGGCUCACCUAGGCGACGAUCCCUAGCUGGUCUGAGAGAAUGACCAGCCAAAGUGGAACUGAUACAAGGUCCAUGUGCAUACGGGAGGCAGCAGUGGGUAAUAUUGGACAAUGGGAGCGAGCAUGAUGAAGCCAUGCCGCGAGUAGGAAGAAGGCCUUCGUGGUGUAAAGUACUUUCAGCGGGGAGGCGUUACCCGCAGAAGAAGCACCGGCUAACUCCGUGCCAGCAGCCGCGGUAAUUC